rnacentral:rRNA from 1 species
UGGUGGAGUGAUUUGUCUGCUUAAUUGCGUUAACGAACGAGACCUUAACCUGCUAAAUAGUGAUGCGAAUCCCAUCGCCUAACGGGUGCAACCACGCGGGCCACCUCCGGGUACCCGCCGCCAGUUGUGCCCUGGUCGGAUUCGCAGCGCACUUCUUAGAGGGACUAUUGGUUUCUAGCCAAUGGAAGUUUGAGGCAAUAACA